rnacentral:lncRNA from 1 species
AAUUAAAAUUUAAAACAUUGCAAACAGAAAUUUGAUGUAUUAUGAAGUAUUUUGGUAUGAAAGCUUUGAUAAAAUUGAUCUUAGUUUUGAUUUCUAUCUUAAAGAUUUAUCAUUUUAUUUUAUACUAUGUCUAAUAAAAAAUAGAAAAAAUAGAAAAAAUAUCAAAACGUGUAUUUUACAAAAAAGCAUGUAAAUAUGGUCACUCUAGUGUAGCAUGUGAAAAUGUGACAAUAUAACUAUUUUCUAUUAAUAUUUCUAAUAAUUAUUUUAAAAAUCUUAAUAAAAAAGUAAGAUAGCAAUUAAUUUUGAUUAUGAAUUGAUGAUCAUGUUAUUAAUAAUAAUUUCACAUUUUUCAUAUUUCUAGCACAUUCAAAAGUAACAAUAAUUCAGAUACUAAACUUAUCAUCUAUUAUCAGUUAAACUUAAAAAUUGCACAAUAAUUUAUGUAUUUUAGAAUAUUUCUAUUAAUGCAUUCCCUCUAAAUUUUACUUGGCUUUACACAAAAUUUAACAUGAUUAAAAAAACAUCAACCAACAAUAUCCAAUCAAACUCCACUAACACACCAAUGCUUGUCAUUUUAUUUCUGAUAAAUCAGACAUAAUUAGAACAAAAAUAUCAUCAACCUCCAUCAACCAUUGAUACACUACAUCAAAAAACACACACUUCUCUAAUUAUUAUUUAUUCUUAAUAUUGAAAUC